CAUUAGAUGGCUGAAAAUAUAAGUGUAGGUCUUUUAAACCUAUUAUAGUAAUUUACUUCUAGUGA
rnacentral:tRNA from 2 species